rnacentral:rRNA from 1 species
UAAUAGAUAAGUUCUAAAAAUUUAAAAGAUUUGGCGGUAAAUUAAAUCAGUUAGAGGAACUUGUUACAUAAUAGAUAUUACACAAUUAACCUCACCUUAAUAUUUUAAGUAAGUUUAUAUACUGCCGUUAACAAAGAAUAUUUUUUAUAAAAAAAUUUUCUUUAUAAUAAUUUUAAAUUAUAAAAUCAGGUCAAGGUGUAGUUUAUAUAAAGGAAGUUAAUGAGUUACAAUUUAAUUUAUAAAAAUGAAAUUGUAUGAUAAAAUUACUCAUCAAAGAAAGUGGAUUUAAAAGUAAUUAUGAAUUAGCAAGUUAUAAAUGAAUACUG